rnacentral:lncRNA from 1 species
CUACAUAUGUUACAGACUGCUCGAAAAUUGAACGCUUUCCGAGAUCCCGUGGUCCGAGGAACUUUUGUGCCUGACUGUACAGAUGGGUCUCGACUCGAAGCUCCUCCUUGACCGACGAGCACACUGGUCUUUUAUAACGCUCAUCGGUGAUUCCUAUGAAGUCACCUUCACUCCAGUUCGCAUGGGAGUAGGCGUCGACGGCAGCUGGUUACAAAACCUUUGCUCAGGAAUCGCCGUGGUGUGUUGCUGAAACGCGAAAACGCUGUGUAAUUGCCACGUGACGCCAUGCUGAACCGACAAGCAGUCUGCCGAAUAUGGGGGAGUGACACAAGAACCAAACGGGAACGGAUGGCUCCACUGGCGGAAGGAGCUUCGGCCACGAGGAGAUCAAAAUAAAACGCUUUGGAAGUCGGUAAA